rnacentral:rRNA from 1 species
AUACGGAGGAUGCGAGCGUUAUCCGGAUUUAUUGGGUUUAAAGGGUGCGUAGGCGGUUUUUUAAGUCAGCGGUGAAACGCAAGGGCUCAACCCUUGACCUGCCGUUGAAACUGGAGGACUUGAAUGCGGAUGCUGUGGGAGGAAUGUGUGGUGUAGCGGUGAAAUGCAUAGAUAUCACACAGAACACCGAUUGCGAAGGCAUCUCACAAAUCCGUGAUUGACGCUGAGGCACGAAAGUGUGGGGAUCAAACAGGAUUAGAUACCCUGGUAGUCCACACUGUAAACGAUGAUGACUCGCUGUCGGCGAUAUACAGUCGGUGGCCAAGCGAAAGCGAUAAGUCAUCCACCUGGGGAGUACGACCGCAAGGUUGAAACUCAAAGGAAUUGACGGGG